GCGUCCGUGGCUCAAUUGGAUAGAGCAUCGGACUUCGGAUCCGAGGGUUGCAGGUUCAACUCCUGCCGGGCGCA
rnacentral:tRNA from 1 species